UUUCUGCGCACGCUGUUUUGAUUCGAUACAGGAGUCAUUUAAUAUGCUCAUAUUUCCUGUCUGAAGUUGAUUCUAUCCUAGUGAAGCCAACCCUUGUCAAAGUAGAGUGCAGCUCUCCGGGAAGUGCACCCAGAACUCGUUUUAAGGGCUCCACAGCCAAAGCUAUUCUAUAAUGGAGCACACAUCUCCUGCAGCCCUCAUGUGGAAACCCAUCACACCAACACCUUCCUACCAGUUGGGCCAACAUCUGACAGCUAGAGGGAGUGGACAAUAUGGGUCACCUGGCCCAGUACAAGAUGAAUGCUGCUCUCUCAUUUGGUCCUGAAUGCUACUCCCCCACCCCCAAUGGGCAGCAGCAACUGCAGAGACUCAUAAUUGGUCAUAGUGAUGAAAAUAACGAACUGCUCAGCCAUAAGUUGGAUUUCUAUAUAUACCAUCACCUCCAAGACUCAGGGAGCAUUACGGGAGAGGCUGUCAUCUGGGCAUAAGAUGGCCAUUGAACGCUUGAACUCAGAGCAGCAGUGACUACCUGCCAAGAGCGUGACCAUCAUGUCAACAUUCUGUAACUGGAGGUGGGAUGUGUGUGUAUGUAUAUAUGAAACUAUUGGAAUAAACCCAUUACUACAUGUAAUAAGUACAGGCAAGAAGAAUGACAACAAAAGACAGGAGCAUGCUCCAAGGUCGUCAUGGAAGGAUCACUCUCUCACGACCAGUUUGGGCUCAUUUACUACAGCCCUGUUAGCACAGCAGCUUUUCAGGAAGGGAAAUGCCCCCAAUUG